CUUAAUUACACGAAAGGUAGCUAGCUAGAGCUCAGUUUUGUAUAAAAGAAUUGAAAGUAAUUUGUAGAAUACAUAUGGAGAAGCUGUAUUACUACCUAACUGAUAGCCAGAUAUAGGAAAACCUGUAGCUAGGGCGCAGACAAAACAAAUAGCUCUGGGCGCUAGAGUGAGCUGACCAACCGUUUUUUAUCAUUUUUUAUUUAUUAUAUAAGUAACCUGUUUCAGUAAUUAAAAAAAUAUCCACUUUUGCUAUCAAACCAACAGCAAUGUAAUUGUCAAAAGGAAUUAGUUUUCCGUACACCCUCCCUGAGAACAAGGUUUAAAACGACAUUAAAACAUUAAAACUGUAAUUAAACAGAACUUCAAGGAUGUCCAAGCCGCACCACGUCCUCUAAACGGCGUGGGCAUCUUCGAAACUGCUUGUAAUUUUAGAACAAGGGUGCUGAUAAGCUGCAUACGCCGUAUAACGUGCAGGCGUUUUUGGGCAAGUUUAGCGUUUUGCAAAAAAAAUUGAAGUAUUCACCCGAAAAAACCUGCAUAGACCAUAAAGUAAACUAUGUGGUAGUAAAGUUCUUAAAAGAACUGUUUUUGAUGGUUUUUGAUAAAAUUUACUUGAUAAAUAACUUUUAAUUUUUAUUAACUUCUUUCUCUUAAAGCAUCUUUUUCCAACUAUCGUCCACAAGGUAUGUUACAAGGAAUUGAAUUUUGAAAAUGCUCCAAGCAAGUUCGGGAAAGUGCGGGCGGUUAUGGAAGACAAUCACUAAUUUAAUUGGAAAAGUUGCCCGAACUCGCCCUUAUAUAUGUGACUGUUUGCAGCUUAUUGACACCCUCUUAUUUUAGAAUAUUCUCAGGAAUAAUAGACCAAGAGAAAUUACAUCACAGUUUUUUGUCCACCGCCCACGUGUGUUUGAGAACAACCCACAUAACAAAGUUCAUUAUUUUUUAAAUUAUUUGUGUAAAAAUUACUAUUUCAUUCACGAUAAACCAUUUGUCAGUCAUUUUAUUCGCCCAACAAAGAAUCCUAUCCAAGGUGCUUUUCUAUUAGUGCUGAAUUUAAUAAUUGACAUGGUUCAGCAUAGUUUUUAAAAGGGUCGAUUGCAAAAUAUGAUUGCCAAAGUUCAGCACUUGUAAUAUUUGUGUAUUUGUGUUCUCAGCUUCUAAAACACACACAAGAGACAUUAUAAUUUCCUCUGGGUGAUUACAUUAAUGUUGGUUGAAAAAAAACCGAAUGAUGAGAAGCAUAUGUUUUUAAAUGGGUCUAGGACAAUAAACUUAUUUAAUUUCCCUUGGCCUUGCAUCAAUCAAAUUCUGAAAAAAUAAACACUUCUAAAAUUAUUUUGUCAGAUUUGGAAACUGUUGGUAUGGUUGGAACUUUGCGUAUAAAAUUAGUAAAGUUGCCAAAUUGUUUAGUUUUUUUCUUUUAUACUUUUCCGAAUUAGCCUUAAUUAUUUAUAAGAUGAAAAACAGUGCUUUCAAUUCCAUUGACUUGGCCAUCCCUUAAAGGCACUGGAAGCUUCACUAUAUGAAAAUGUUUUCUUUUUCUUUUAGAUUGUGUACAAUGGGAGUGAGUGAUGUAAUCUUCUAAUGCGUGUGGUGAAAAGAAGGCGAAUCCGUUAUUGUUUUUCUGCCCAAAUUUGAAGCUAUUUAAUAAAUCUUGAUAAAGUUAAAAAACUGUUUUGAUUUGUUUGUUUUUGUUUUAAUUGUUUCCCGUGAGUUUUCGAAAUUCGUUCCAGCAGAUUCUGUGGCUUCUACUGCCGGUAUUUUUACGUGAAAAAAAUACUGUUUUGUUGUGGGGUCAUUUACGAAAUCGUUAACAUGAAAAGGAUGCAUGAAAAGGAUGAGUUUAAUAAGAUAUGAUGAGUCAACAAACGUUUGUAAUGUCCUGUCUGGACUAAACGUGGUAGCUAGCUAUAUAGCUAAUGAACGUUUUGUUUCAGAGCAUUUGCUGGAAAUCUACCCCUUUGAUUGACUUGAUGCUUAGGUCCAAAACAGCAGCUGGCUAUCUAGUGCUGGCUAGUUAAUUAGCUAGUUAGAAAGUUUUUUGCGAAGCAAUUGAGCUUUGCGAGCGAAGCGAAAUUGUGGAGCACGUUUGCUACACGCGAGGUAUACCAAGAGAAUUAUUGAGAUUCUCAAAAUUUCGAUAGAAAAAAAAUCAUAUAAAAUCAGCGUAAAGAAAUAGGACUGAUAUUUUUGCACAUAAAGCUAGGGUAUUUUUUUUUCUAAUAAAACAAAUAAGUUUGGACCGAGGGGUUAAAGUAUAAGUUUAGUAAAAAAUGCAAUAAGUACGGCUCGUACCCCCCACCCCCGGAUUUUGACCCCCCCCCGUCUUUUGGUCCGGAUUAUACGUCCGCCGAACUUGAACACACAAAGAGGAAUAUGCCGUGAACAAGAAACGGUAGUCGGCAUUUUAGACACGUAUAUUUUACAGACCUAAAAUAUGCCUUAUUUCUUUGUAUUAUAGCUAAUUAUGGUAUAAAUAAUUAAUUAAUUACUUUGCAAUUUUGCUUCUAAUACUAUUAUAGUUGUAUUUUAAUGAAACAUAAUAGUAUUAAAACGGUUUUCUUCUUUUGAAAAAAUUUAUUGCUAGUCCUGUUUCUAAUCGACUUUACUUGUGUAUUUUAAGCUUUUUUGUUGCUGUGCUUUUUCUGGAGAUUUUAGUUGGAUUGGAAAGCUCCUGUGUAAGGUACCCAUUCCUAAAGAAAAAUUGAAGUAAUUUGUACAAUUAAAACGCGCCGAGCUGUGUUUUAUUUUAUUGUUUCUAAGAGGAUAUUGUGUACAAUGGGAGUGAGUGAUGUAAUCUUCUAAUGCGUGUGGUGAAAAGAAGGCGAAUCCGUUAUUGUUUUUCUGCCCAAAUUUGAAGCUAUUUAAUAAAUCUUGAUAAAGUUAAAAAACUGUUUUGAUUUGUUUGUUUUUGUUUUAAUUGUUUCCCGUGAGUUUUCGAAAUUCGUUCCAGCAGAUUCUGUGGCUUCUACUGCCGGUAUUUUUACGUGAAAAAAAUACUGUUUUGUUGUGAGGUCAUUUACGAAAUCGUUAACAUGAAAAGGAUGCAUGAAAAGGAUGAGUUUAAUAAGAUAUGAUGAGUCAACAAACGUUUGUAAUGUCCUGUCUGGACUAAACGUGGUAGCUAGCUAUAUAGCUAAUGAACGUUUUGUUUCAGAGCAUUUGCUGGAAAUCUACCCCUUUGAUUGACUUGAUGCUUAGGUCCAAAACAGCAGCUGGCUAUCUAGUGCUGGCUAGUUAAUUAGCUAGUUAGAAAGUUUUUUGCGAAGCAAUUGAGCUUUGCGAGCGAAGCGAAAUUGUGGAGCACGUUUGCUACACGCGAGGUAUACCAAGAGAAUUAUUGAGAUUCUCAAAAUUUCGAUAGAAAAAAAAUCAUAUAAAAUCAGCGUAAAGAAAUAGGACUGAUAUUUUUGCACAUAAAGCUAGGGUAUUUUUUUUUCUAAUAAAACAAAUAAGUUUGGACCGAGGGGUUAAAGUAUAAGUUUAGUAAAAAAUGCAAUAAGUACGGCUCGUACCCCCCCACCCCCGGAUUUUGACCCCCCCCCGUCUUUUGGUCCGGAUUAUACGUCCGCCGAACUUGAACACACAAAGAGGAAUAUGCCGUGAACAAGAAACGGUAGUCGGCAUUUUAGACACGUAUAUUUUACAGACCCAAAAUAUGCCUUAUUUCUUUGUAUUAUAGCUAAUUAUGGUAUAAAUAAUUAAUUAAUUACUUUGCAAUUUUGCUUCUAAUACUAUUAUAGUUGUAUUUUAAUGAAACAUAAUAGUAUUAAAACGGUUUUCUUCUUUUGAAAAAAUUUAUUGCUAGUCCUGUUUCUAAUCGACUUUACUUGUGUAUUUUAAGCUUUUUUGUUGCUGUGCUUUUUCUGGAGAUUUUAGUUGGAUUGGAAAGCUCCUGUGUAAGGUACCCAUUCCUAAAGAAAAAUUGAAGUAAUUUGUACAAUUAAAACGCGCCGAGCUGUGUUUUAUUUUAUUGUUUCUAAGAGGAUAUUGUGUACAAUGGGAGUGAGUGAUGUAAUCUUCUAAUGCGUGUGGUGAAAAGAAGGCGAAUCCGUUAUUGUUUUUCUGCCCAAAUUUGAAGCUAUUUAAUAAAUCUUGAUAAAGUUAAAAAACUGUUUUGAUUUGUUUGUUUUUGUUUUAAUUGUUUCCCGUGAGUUUUCGAAAUUCGUUCCAGCAGAUUCUGUGGCUUCUACUGCCGGUAUUUUUACGUGAAAAAAAUACUGUUUUGUUGUGAGGUCAUUUACGAAAUCGUUAACAUGAAAAGGAUGCAUGAAAAGGAUGAGUUUAAUAAGAUAUGAUGAGUCAACAAACGUUUGUAAUGUCCUGUCUGGACUAAACGUGGUAGCUAGCUAUAUAGCUAAUGAACGUUUUGUUUCAGAGCAUUUGCUGGAAAUCUACCCCUUUGAUUGACUUGAUGCUUAGGUCCAAAACAGCAGCUGGCUAUCUAGUGCUGGCUAGUUAAUUAGCUAGUUAGAAAGUUUUUUGCGAAGCAAUUGAGCUUUGCGAGCGAAGCGAAAUUGUGGAGCACGUUUGCUACACGCGAGGUAUACCAAGAGAAUUAUUGAGAUUCUCAAAAUUUCGAUAGAAAAAAAAUCAUAUAAAAUCAGCGUAAAGAAAUAGGACUGAUAUUUUUGCACAUAAAGCUAGGGUAUUUUUUUUUCUAAUAAAACAAAUAAGUUUGGACCGAGGGGUUAAAGUAUAAGUUUAGUAAAAAAUGCAAUAAGUACGGCUCGUACCCCCCCACCCCCGGAUUUUGACCCCCCCCGUCUUUUGGUCCGGAUUAUACGUCCGCCGAACUUGAACACACAAAGAGGAAUAUGCCGUGAACAAGAAACGGUAGUCGGCAUUUUAGACACGUAUAUUUUACAGACCUAAAAUAUGCCUUAUUUCUUUGUAUUAUAGCUAAUUAUGGUAUAAAUAAUUAAUUAAUUACUUUGCAAUUUUGCUUCUAAUACUAUUAUAGUUGUAUUUUAAUGAAACAUAAUAGUAUUAAAACGGUUUUCUUCUUUUGAAAAAAUUUAUUGCUAGUCCUGUUUCUAAUCGACUUUACUUGUGUAUUUUAAGCUUUUUUGUUGCUGUGCUUUUUCUGGAGAUUUUAGUUGGAUUGGAAAGCUCCUGUGUAAGGUACCCAUUCCUAAAGAAAAAUUGAAGUAAUUUGUACAAUUAAAACGCGCCGAGCUGUGUUUUAUUUUAUUGUUUCUAAGAGGAUAUUGUGUACAAUGGGAGUGAGUGAUGUAAUCUUCUAAUGCGUGUGGUGAAAAGAAGGCGAAUCCGUUAUUGUUUUUCUGCCCAAAUUUGAAGCUAUUUAAUAAAUCUUGAUAAAGUUAAAAAACUGUUUUGAUUUGUUUGUUUUUGUUUUAAUUGUUUCCCGUGAGUUUUCGAAAUUCGUUCCAGCAGAUUCUGUGGCUUCUACUGCCGGUAUUUUUACGUGAAAAAAAUACUGUUUUGUUGUGAGGUCAUUUACGAAAUCGUUAACAUGAAAAGGAUGCAUGAAAAGGAUGAGUUUAAUAAGAUAUGAUGAGUCAACAAACGUUUGUAAUGUCCUGUCUGGACUAAACGUGGUAGCUAGCUAUAUAGCUAAUGAACGUUUUGUUUCAGAGCAUUUGCUGGAAAUCUACCCCUUUGAUUGACUUGAUGCUUAGGUCCAAAACAGCAGCUGGCUAUCUAGUGCUGGCUAGUUAAUUAGCUAGUUGGAAAGUUUUUUGCGAAGCAAUUGAGCUUUGCGAGCGAAGCGAAAUUGUGGAGCACGUUUGCUACACGCGAGGUAUACCAAGAGAAUUAUUGAGAUUCUCAAAAUUUCGAUAGAAAAAAAAUCAUAUAAAAUCAGCGUAAAGAAAUAGGACUGAUAUUUUUGCACAUAAAGCUAGGGUAUUUUUUUUUCUAAUAAAACAAAUAAGUUUGGACCGAGGGGUUAAAGUAUAAGUUUAGUAAAAAAUGCAAUAAGUACGGCUCGUACCCCCCCACCCCCGGAUUUUGACCCCCCCCGUCUUUUGGUCCGGAUUAUACGUCCGCCGAACUUGAACACACAAAGAGGAAUAUGCCGUGAACAAGAAACGGUAGUCGGCAUUUUAGACACGUAUAUUUUACAGACCCAAAAUAUGCCUUAUUUCUUUGUAUUAUAGCUAAUUAUGGUAUAAAUAAUUAAUUAAUUACUUUGCAAUUUUGCUUCUAAUACUAUUAUAGUUGUAUUUUAAUGAAACAUAAUAGUAUUAAAACGGUUUUCUUCUUUUGAAAAAAUUUAUUGCUAGUCCUGUUUCUAAUCGACUUUACUUGUGUAUUUUAAGCUUUUUUGUUGCUGUGCUUUUUCUGGAGAUUUUAGUUGGAUUGGAAAGCUCCUGUGUAAGGUACCCAUUCCUAAAGAAAAAUUGAAGUAAUUUGUACAAUUAAAACGCGCCGAGCUGUGUUUUAUUUUAUUGUUUCUAAGAGGAUAUUGUGUACAAUGGGAGUGAGUGAUGUAAUCUUCUAAUGCGUGUGGUGAAAAGAAGGCGAAUCCGUUAUUGUUUUUCUGCCCAAAUUUGAAGCUAUUUAAUAAAUCUUGAUAAAGUUAAAAAACUGUUUUGA